rnacentral:rRNA from 1 species
CACGUAGGGGGCGAGCGUUGUCCGGAUUUAUUGGGCGUAAAGAGCUCGUAGGCGGUUAGACAAGUCGGGUGUGAAAGCUCGAGGCUCAACCUCGAGACGCCACUCGAUACUGUUUUGACUGGAGUCCGGUAGAGGAGUGCGGAAUUCCUGGUGUAGCGGUGAAAUGCGCAGAUAUCAGGAGGAACACCGAUGGCGAAGGCAGCUCGCUGGGACGUUACUGACGCUGAGACGCGAAAGCGUGGGGAGCAAACAGG